UACGUAGGGUCCGAGCGUUGUCCGGAAUUAUUGGGCGUAAAGGGCUCGUAGGCGGUUUGUUGCGUCGGGAGUGAAAAUUUACAGCUUAACUGUGAGCGUGCUUCCGAUACGGGCAGACUUGAGGUAUUCAGGGGAGAACGGAAUUCCUGGUGUAGCGGUGAAAUGCGCAGAUAUCAGGAGGAACACCGGUGGCGAAGGCGGUUCUCUGGGAAUAUCCUGACGCUGAGGAGCGAAAGUGUGGGGAGCGAACAGG
rnacentral:rRNA from 1 species